CUGACCGGCGAGUAAUGUCGCCCUUCCUACGGGACAGGGGAGACAGGUGGUGCAUGGUUGUCGUCAGCUCGUGUCGUGAGAUGUUGGGUUAAGUCCCGCAACGAGCGCAACCCCUAUCUUCAGUAGCCAGCAUCAAGGAUGGGCACUCUGGAGGGACUGCCAGGGACAACCUGGAGGAAGGUGGGGAUGACGUCAAAUCAUCAUGCCCCUUAUGACCAGGGCUACACACGUGCUACAAUGGCGUAAACAAAGGGAAGCGAACAUGUGAGUGCGAGCAAAUCCCAGAAAUAACGUCUCAGUUCGGAUUGUAGUCUGCAACUCGACUACAUGAAGCUGGAAUCGCUAGUAAUCGCGAAUCAGAAUGUCGCGGUGAAUACGUUCCCGGGUCUUGUACACACCGCCCGUCACACCAUGGGAGUCAGUAACGCCCGAAGUCAGUGACCCAACCGUAACCGGAGGGAGCUGCCGAAGGUGGGACCGAUAACUGGGGUGAAGUCGUAACAAGGUAGCCGUAUCGGAA
rnacentral:rRNA from 1 species